CGUAAUACCGCAUAAGCUGGUGACGAUGGGAAUGGUUAUCAGGAAAGCUUUAGUGCUUUGAGAGGGGCCUACGGCCGAUUAGCUAGUUGGUGAGGUAAAGGCUCACCAAGGCGAUGAUCGGUAGCUGGUCUGAGAGGACGAUCAGCCACACGGGAACUGAGACACGGUCCCGACUCCUACGGGGGGCAGCAGUGAGGAAUAUUCGGCAAUGGGGGCAACCCUGACCGAGCAACGCCGCGUGGAGGAUGACGGUUUUCGGAUUGUAAACUCCUUUUUCUCAGGGAAGAGCGAGGACGGUACCUGGGGAAUAAGUCACGGCUAACUACGUGCCAGCAGCCGCGGUAAUACGUAGGUGGCAAGCGUUAUCCGGAAUUACUGGGCGUAAAGCGCACGCAGGUGGCUGCUUAAGUCUGACGUGAAAGCUCCUGGCUUAACUGGGAGAGGUCGUUGGAGACUGGGCGGCUUGAGGCGAGGAGAGGGGGUGUAGAAUUCCCGGUGUAGUGGUGGAAUGCGUAGAGAUCGGGAGGAAUACCAGUGGCC
rnacentral:rRNA from 1 species